GCGCUCUUAGCUCAGUUGGAUAGAGCAACUGCCUUCUAAGCCGUAGGUCAGGCGUUCGAGUCGCCUAGAGCGCGCCA
rnacentral:tRNA from 1 species